rnacentral:tRNA from 1 species
GGCAGUAGCUCAGUGGUAAAGUGCUUGUCUAGCACAUGUGAGGUUCUGGGUUCAGUCCUCAGCACCA